GCGAGGUGGUGCUAAUCCUAGAAACUCUCUCGUAGUCCGGAUUGGAGUCUGCAACUCGACUCCAUGAAGUUGGAAUUGCUAGUAAUCGCGGAUCAGCAUGCCGCGGUGAAUACGUUCUCGGGUCUUGUACACACCGCCCGUCACACCAUGGAAGUGGAUUGCACCAGAAGUAGAUAGUCUAACCUUAGGGAGGGCGUUUACCACGGUGUGCUUCAUGACUGGGGUGAAGUCGUAACAAGGUAGCCGUAGGGGAACCUGUGGCUGGAUCACCUCCUU
rnacentral:rRNA from 1 species